rnacentral:rRNA from 1 species
CAGCCGCCGCGGUAAUACGUAGGUGGCAAGCGUUGUCCGGAAUUAUUGGGCGUAAAGGGCUCGCAGGCAGUUUCUUAAGUCUGAUGUGAAAGCCCCCGGCUCAACCGGGGAGGGUCAUUGGAAACUGGGAAACUUGAGUGCAGAAGAGGAGAGUGGAAUUCCACGUGUAGCGGUGAAAUGCGUAGAGAUGUGGAGGAACACCAGUGGCGAAGGCGACUCUCUGGUCUGUAACUGACGCUGAGGAGCGAAAGCGUGGGGAGCGAACAGGAUUAGAUACCCCGGUAGUCCCUGUCUCUUAUAA